CAACUCUUUGCUACGACUGCUCCUAACUGCUACGUUGGUCUUUGUUAAGACCAGUCUUUAGAAUUGAAUUUAGGGCGACCACGCCCCCCUUCGGAGGAAACAGCGGUAAAAGUGACUGGAGGAAACAGCGGUAAAAGUGACUGGAGGCCAAUGUGUGAUGGAGCUUGGAAGUUGCGCCGCCAUAUCUUACUCGAUAAAUAAAUAAAGUUCACAUAAUUAGUU